rnacentral:snRNA from 2 species
AUACCUUUCUCGGCCUUUUGGCUAAGAUCAAGUGUAGUAUCUGUUCUUAUCAGUUUAAUAUCUGAUAUGUGGUCCAAUGGGUCACACGAUAUUAAAUUACUUUUUUGAUGGGGAGAAGCCACCCCAAUAGCUUGCUAUUGGGCUUCUCGAGUGUCGCCUAUGUGUUGCACUAUUGCAUGGGCUGGCGCACCCCAU